rnacentral:lncRNA from 1 species
GAGCUGGGAACAGCAGCCAGGCUAAGCUGAACAGUCUCAUGCUGCAGCUGGCGCUGCCUGAAUCGUGAGGGACAGCCCCAGGAUGUGCUGCAGAGGGAGAGUUUGGGUGUGGGGGUUUCACACAUGUAAGUGCUGAGGCUUUUGCCUGCUGGUGUGAAUCAUCACUGGACCAGACUGUCUCCAGCCUUUCCCCAGCAAGCAAAGGAGAGAGUGGUGAUACGAGGAGCUUCCCUUCCAUGCCUUCCACACCACACCAUCCAGGGGCUGGUCCAUGUCCCCUGAGUAUCGACCGGAGCUCAGCGCAGCCUGCAGCACGAGGCCUACAUUCUACACCAGCGCCCCGCUUUGGCACUGCAGCACAGUGAGAGUCCAUGUAACCUGAAGGAUAAGGAUCACGCAGAGAGAUGGAGCUGUAGCAUUUGUCUUUCCUGAAUGCACCUAAUGAAGCCCAAAUGACAAAAGGUAACAUACUGUAUGUGUUUUAGCUCAUUAAUAAAU